GCCCGCCGGGUCUAGUGGUCCUAAACAUUUCACAAUUGCGCUACAGAACUGUUGAACUGUUAAGAACCACUGGACCCAGCGCGC
ensembl:miRNA MIR203B microRNA 203b